UAUAAAAAAGUUUCAUGCAAAUAUAUGUAUUGAAUAUGGUUAUAUGCAAUUCCUUUAACUGUUUUAUGUAUUUUGGAAUGUUACUUUGAUGAGCAAUUACGGACCAUCUGAAAGAUAAAGAAAGGGUUCCGACCACGAUUCUGACCGGAUGUCGCUUAUAUGGAGAUAGUCGUGCACGAUUAGUUGGUUUGUUUGUUUAAAUACUCAUAUACAUCUCGCCUCUGAUUGGGUUCAGAUCUUUUUUAUUCGUGUCAUAGGUCUGAUUGCAAGGGUUUUUUCUUUUCGUAUUCUGAUUUGGUUCAGGAACACCAGUAACCGUGUGGAUACAGGUGCAUUGCCUCCGUUUCAGUUCAGCUAUUUGAGAAAUAGGAAAUCAUUAUCUGAGUUUUGGCGGGAUUGUCCUAUUGUGAGUAUAUAUUUUAGCUUAUUUAAUGAUUUGUUUAUUUUGUGUUGAUUUAUUUCAUGAUUUCAUCCUGUUUGUGGCCUUUUAAUGAAUGAGAG